AAAGUGGGAUAAGGGAAUCCAGAGUGCUUAGCUUUGCCAGGCUUUUGCCAAGAGUAAAAAUCUUGGAGAAUAAGUGGGGGGAAAGACUGGUGCCAGCCGCCGCGGUAACACCAGCGCCACGAGUGGGGAUCCUGAUUAUUUGGCCUAAAGCGUCCGUAGCUGGUUUAGUAAAUCUCUUGUGAAAUCGUUGGGCUCAACCCAGCGGCGUGCAGGGGAGACUGCUAGACUAGGGACCGGGGGGAGUCAGAGGUAUGCCGGGGGGAGCGGUAAAAUGCUAUAAUCCCUAGUAGACCACCUGUGGCGAAGGCGUCUGACUGGAACGGGUCCGACAGUGAGGGACGAAAGCCAGGGGAGCAAACCGGAUUAGAUACCCGAGUAGUCCUGGCUGUAAACGCUGCGAGCUAGGUGUUGCACAUUCUCCGCGAAUGUGCAGUGUCGAGGCGAAGGUGUUAAGCUCGCCGCCUGGGAAGUAUGGUCGCAAGACUGAAACUUAAAGGAAUUGGCGGGGGAAAGGGCGAA
rnacentral:rRNA from 1 species